AUCNGCUCUUCGGAGUGGUGAUUAGUGGCGAACGGGUGAGUAACACGUGAGUAACCUGCCCUCCACUUUGGGAUAACUGUGGGAAACUUCAGCUAAUACCGGAUAUUGAAUACUGCUCGCAUGGGUGGUGUUUGAAAGAUUUUUUGGUGGGGGAUGGACUCGCGGCCUAUCAGCUUGUUGGUGGGGUAAUGGCCUACCAAGGCGAUGACGGGUAGCCGGCCUGAGAGGGCGACCGGCCACACUGGGACUGAGAUACGGCCCAGACUCCUACGGGAGGCAGCAGUGGGGAAUAUUGCACAAUGGGCGAAAGCCUGAUGCAGCAACGCCGCGUGCGGGAUGACGGCCUUCGGGUUGUAAACCGCUUUCACCAGGGGCGAAUUUGACGGUACCUGGAGAAGAAGCACCGGCUAACUACGUGCCAGCAGCCGCGGUGAUACGUAGGGUGCGAGCGUUGUCCGGAUUUAUUGGGCGUAAAGAGCUCGUAGGUGGUUUGUUGCGUCGGAAGUGAAAACACAGGGCUUAACUCUGUGCUUGCUUUCGAUACGGGCAGACUUGAGGAAGGUAGGGGAGAACGGAAUUCCUGGUGGAGCGGUGGAAUGCGCAGAUAUCAGGAGGAACACCAGUGGCGAAGGCGGUUCUCUGGACCUUUCCUGACGCUGAGGAGCGAAAGCGUGGGGAGCAAACAGGCUUASAUACCCUGGUAGUCCACGCCGUAAACGGUGGGCACUAGGUGUGGGGGACAUUCCACGUUCUCCGUGCCGUAGCUAACGCAUUAAGUGCCCCGCCUGGGGAGUACGGCCGCAAGGCUAAAACUCAAAGGAAUUGACGGGGGCCCGCACAAGCGGCGGAGCNGCGGAUUAUUCGAUGCAANCGAAGACCUUACCUGGGAUUGACAUCUGCCGGAGACAUCAGAGAUGGUGUGCCUUUUGGUCGCUGACAGGGGG
rnacentral:rRNA from 1 species